CCUACGAGCGGCAGCAGUGGGGAAUAUUGUACAAUGGGGGAAACCCUGAUGCAGCGACGCCGCGUGAAGGAAGAAGUAUUUCGGUAUGUAAACUUCUAUCAGCAGGGAAGAAAAUGACGGUACCUGACUAAGAAUCCCCGUCUAACUACGUGCCAGCAGCCGCGGGAAUACGUAGGGGGCAAGCGUUAUCCGGAUGUACUGGGUGUAAAGGGAGAGUAGGCGGUUUAGCAAGUCAGAAGUGAAAGCCCGGGGCUCAACUCCGGGACUGCUUUUGAAACUGUUGAACUAGAUUGCAGGAGAGGUAAGUGGAAUUCCUAGUGUAGCGGUGAAAUGCGUAGAUAUUAGGAGGAACGCCAGUGGCGAAGGCGGCUUACUAGACUGUAAAUGACGCUGAGGCUCGAAAGCGUGGGGAGCAAACAGGAUUAGAUACCCUUGUAGUC
rnacentral:rRNA from 1 species